GACGAACGCUGGCGGCGUGCCUAACACAUGCAAGUCAACUUGACUGAAGGAGCAAUCUGACAGUAGAGUGGCGCAAGGGUGCGUAACGCGUAAGUAACUUGCCCAAGGUAAGGAAUAACGUCGAGAAAUCGGCGCUAAUACCUCAUAAUGCAGCGGAUCCGCAUGGAUAUGUUGUUAAAGGUUUACCGCCUUGGGAUAGGCUUGCGUCUGAUUAGUUAGUUGGUGUGGUAACGGCACACCAAGGCUACGAUCAGUAACUGGUCUGAGAGGAUGAUCAGUCACACUGGAACUGAGACACGGUCCAGACUCCUACGGGAGGCAGCAGUGAGGAAUAUUGGGCAAUGCUCGAAAGAGUGACCCAGCAACGCCGCGUGGAGGAUGAAGGUAUUCUAUAUCGUAAACUCCUGUGAGAGCAGACGAAAGACAGAUUAUAAUCUGGAUGACUGUAUGCACAGAGGAAGCCCCGGCUAA
rnacentral:rRNA from 1 species